UACAGGUGCAACUCAGUAAAUUAUAAUAUAUAUAUUUUUAAAGUUGAUUUCUUAGACAUAAUAUAUUUUCCGCGAUUGACUGCAACAUUGCAGUAAAUGAGGCGACCAGCCUGUGGCUCUGCGGAAGUGUCACGGAUUCCCAGGUGGAUUUAUUUGCAACUUCAUCUAUUCUUUCUCUUAAUCGUCUCACUGGAUCUCAAGCAACUUCCAACUUCUCAACACCCUGGAAUCUUGGUUUGCAAAGGAAACACAAAAUGAACUUUAAGGGGGACCAGAAGACGAAGACUUCUUCCCUUCGGUCCUCCACUCAGCAGCUUCUUUCUUCUCAUGGGAGAGUCUCAUCAGGUGUCCCACAACAGCUUGAUGGAAUCGAAUUCAAGUACCGUCAGUAAUGAGGUGUGUGGCUACGACUCGCUCAUCUGAGGCGCCAUUGGUGGGGGAGAUCAGAGAUCAAACAUCCUGAAAACAGCCUCAUCUGUUCAGUUUGAGUCGCUACGUCACACCGAGGUAACAUAAUAAAUGUUGUCAUUUAUUAUGACAACUAUUAAUGUUGUCAUAAUAAAUGACAACAUUUAUUACGUCAACCGGACACCGGAAGAGAGGAGAUGCAGCGAGCUUCUCCUGCUGGGCAGAUCUGAGGGAAGAAAAUAAGUAGUUAACUCUACCGUCCUGAUGAGAAGCUGCUUUAUGACCCAGAUGAACUCCAUCCAUCCAUGCCUGGUUCCGUCCCUCUCUCCAUCCAACUCCGCCCCAACUCCGGAUUAGCGGAAGAAGAUGGAUGGAUGGAUAGAAACUAUUAUGUAAAACAUUAUUUUGAAUCAAAAUUAAUCCAACAUGUAGGAUCCAGUUAUUUACGCAUCAGAGGGUUAAAAUAAACCGAAAGAAAUAUUGAAAGCACAGCUUGCAAAAAACAAACAAUUAAACGGAUAAAUAUAAGAAACAACUCUUUGUAAGACUUGGCCCAAGUCACCACAUGCAUGUUCAUUAGAUUUAUGACACCAUUUUAUGAUAUUUUACAUCCUCACCCUAUCUUGACUAAAGUCCACCCUGUUAUGUCCUUGUUCACCUUGUCGUUUUCCUGAUUUAUGAAA